AUUGAACGCUGGCGGCAUGCUUUACACAUGCAAGUCGGACGGCAGCACAGAGAAGCUUGCUUCUUGGGUGGCGAGUGGCGAACGGGUGAGUAACAUAUCGGAACGUACCGAGCAGUGGGGGAUAACUAAUCGAAAGAUUAGCUAAUACCGCAUAUCUUCUGAGGAAGAAAGCAGGGGACCAUUUGGCCUUGCGCUGUUUGAGCGGCCGAUAUCUGAUUAGCUAGUUGGUGGGGUAAAGGCCUACCAAGGCGACGAUCAGUAGCGGGUCUGAGAGGAUGAUCCGCCACACUGGGACUGAGACACGGCCCAGACUCCUACGGGAGGCAGCAGUGGGGAAUUUUGGACAAUGAGCGCAAGCCUGAUCCAGCCAUGCCGCGUGUCUGAAGAAGGCCUUCGGGUUGUAAAGGACUUUUGUCAGGGAAGAAAAGGGCGGGGUUAAUACCCCUGUCUGAUGACG
rnacentral:rRNA from 1 species